rnacentral:snoRNA from 1 species
CUGCCUCUGACAGACCUGGAGCAGUUGCUGUCUGCUGCUAAGGCUUCCACUACAGAUGCAAGAAAAAGGUUUUCACGCUUUCUAUGUGUCUGGUUGUGGCACCCAAGAUUGAAUGAGGGAAUCCAGGA